GGUGGAGGCCAUGUUGGAGGCUGCACUGAGAGCUCUCCAACACUGGUUGCUACAUUACCCACAAUUCCAGAAGGUUUGCCAUCCCUGUCAGUAGUAGCCAUCAGUGAAUCUUUCCUGGCUGUUUCAUGGCAACUCCCAUCAAGGCCAAAUGGGCCCAACAUAAGAUUUGAGCUGUUGAGACGGAAAACCCAGCAGCCCCUGGCCUCCCGUCCCCCUGAAGAUUUGAAUCUGUGGUACAAUGUUUAUGCAGGAACCAAAUUGUUUCAUGAAGAUAAAGGCCUUAGCAGGUACACAUGGUACGAAUACAAACUUCUGGUUCACAAUGAUGUUGGCUAUGCUUC